GAUACUAAUAGAGGCAUAGAAGGUUUUAGGUCAAAGAUAAUUGCAUGUGCUACUGCGUAAAACAAAUCGAUUCCACCUUCCAGAAAGAGCGUGGUGAGAUGAAUCACAGUCCAUUUUGAGAAGCUAGGGAAAGUGGCCUGCCUACCAUGCAUACACAGUCCUGGGUUAAACCCACAAAACUCUUUAAAAUGACAAUGGUGGUCUAGCUUUAUGAUCGCAGUACUCAAGAGGGUGGAAGCAGGAGAUCAGAAGUUCAAGGUGAGGCUAGGAAGGUGGCUCAGAAGGUAAAGGUACUUGCCACCAAGACUGGCACCUUAAUUCAAUGCCAGGACCCACAUGGUGGAGAGAACUAACUCCUGAUAUCCACACAUACACCAUGGCAUGCUCAAGAGCGCGCGUGCACAUACACAUACACACACACACACACAAAAGAUAAGAUAAAUAAACUUAAAAAGUCCAAGGUCACUCUCAGCUAUGUAGAAGUUUGAGGCCAGCCCUAGGUACAGAGAUUGUCUAAAACCAAAACCAAAACGGACCACUGAGACUGCUCUUUGGAGAAGGGCCUCUCUUACUAAGCACAAUGACUUGAUUUCAAUCCCAUAGACUCACAGGGUAGGAAGAGACGUGAUUCCUAUUCAUGAUAGAAUGUUGACUGACUCAAUCUUGCCCAGGUUUCAUUCAGGCAACCACAGCUCCUGAGUUUAGAAAUGCAAAGGUCCUGCUCUACCCAAGAGACACUGCUUUGCUUCUGAUAUCUGGAUCUUACAAUCUUUUCACUCUUUCUUCUAUGAUGAUUCCUGAGCUGCCCUGUCCUGCAGGGCUGUCAUCGGAGGAGGUUGGGGACCACCUAGGAGAGAAUGGGGGACAAGAGACUUGAAGAAGGAUGCCAAGACAAAAGUCUGAUCAAGCACAAGAGAGUACUUUCCAGGACAAAGGCAGCUAGUUCACAAGGAGGAAGCUUCUAGGAUCCUAGCAGUCCACUCUAACAGCAAACACCAAAAAUGAAUUCUUAGCAGAGGCGUGACCUAACAGAAACAGAAGUCUCUGCCAAAUCGGCAUGAGCCAGCAGAGUCGUCCAGAAUCAGCCAGAAUACCAUGAGAAGUCCUUUGCUGAGUUUCUCUCUAAAAAGGGAAGACCAAUAAGGACCAGUGAAGACCAGCAAAGACCAGUGACGACCAGCGAAGCGUUGCACGGUGUAGCGGUGCAAGAGCAGCCUCUCAUUACCCGUGGGGUUCUACUUAUACUCUUUGUAAACAUCACACACUCUCUCAAGGGUCUGCUCUCAGCAAAACAUCAAGUGCCCUCUCACAAGACAGCUUCCAGAAACACAUUGCAUGACACAACUGAGUUUUAUAGAAACCAGAAACUUCCACUUCACAAAAUAGUGGGUUUCAAUAUGGCUCUCAGAUAACUCAGUGUUGGUUACCGUUUCCUCUUUGUUACCCUAUUCCCCUCCUCACCUAAGCCUCCCCUUACUUUCUUUAUAACCUGUGUCCUUCCAUCCCCUCUUCCAUAAUCUCUCUCCCUUUCCCGCUGCUCUUUUACUUCCUGUCUCCCACAGAAACUCCAAGUUAAACUCAGAGUUCUAAAGAUUUGACAGUGGAACUCACCUAUGAGAGAGAACAUGCUGUGUUUGUCUCUCUGGGCCUGGUCUACCUCAUGUGGUAUAAUUUUUCCCAGUUCUACCCAUUUAUCUGAACUUUUCAUAACUGGAUUUUUCUCUACAACUGAAUGGAAUUCCGUUGUAUAGAGAUACCAUCAUUUGUUAUACAGCCAUUAGUUGAUGGACAUCUAGGCCAUUUCUCUGUCCUAGUUAUUGUGAAUAGAGCAGCAGUGGACAUGAAUGAGCCCCUGUCUCCCUCAUAUAACAGAGUCCAUUAGGUAUAUGCCAGGAAGGGCAGAGUUGGGCCACCUGGCAAGUGCAUUUCUAGCUUCUUGAGGAGCCAUGCCAAUUCCCAUAGUGACUACAGCAGUUGGCACUCCCAAUAGUGAGUGAAUGCUUUCCCCACAUCCUCCCCAAACGCUUGUUUUCCUAGUCUUAGCUAUUCUGAUUGGGUCAAGAAGACAGCUCAAGACAGGUUUAGUUUGUAUUUCUCUGAUAGCUAGUGACUUUGAACACUAAUGUUUUGUAGUGGGCUGGAGAGGUGGCGAACGACAGUGAUGAAAACAUUUACUGUUCUUACAGAGGACUGAGUUCUCUUUCCAGCACCCACACUGGGUAGCUCACAGAUGCCUGGAACUCUAGCUCUGGGGAUCCAAUGCUCUCUUCUGGUCUCCAUGGAUACUUCACCCAUGUGUACAUACCCACACACAGAUCACACACACACACACACACACAGAGAGAGAGAGAGAACACACACAUACUGUUGAAAAUAGAAACAAAAUCUUAGAACCCUCCAUUCUUUAGCCAUUUACACUUCUCUGAGAACUCUCUGUUUAGUUUUACUUCCAUUUUUAAAUUGGGUUGAUAUAGUUGUGAGCUUUAGUUCUUGGUAUAUUCUGGACAGCAAUCCUGUCAGAUGCCCGGCUGGAAAUAACUGCUUCCCAUUCAGUAGGCUGUCUGCCUCUUCAGAUGCUUAAGUUUCCUUUGCAAUGAAUGAGGUUUUUUUUAACUUCAUAAGGUCCCACAGGUUGGCUGUUGGAACCAUUUCCUGCGUGAACACGGUCCUAUCCAGAAAGUUCUUACCUCGGCCUGUAUCCCAUAGUGUACACCCGAUGUCUUCCUCUAGACGUUUCAGAGUUCUGGGUUUAAUAUUGAGAUCCUAGAUCCACUUGGAAUUGAUGUACAUAUGUACAGAGUGAGAGAAGGGUCAAAUUUCAUUCAUCACAUGUAGAUAACCAGUUUGCCGACAUGGUGUGUUAAAGAUGCUACAUCCUCCCCUGGAUGUAUGGACUAUUUGGGUCCUUAAGUCUAUUCUAUCGAUCAGUGAAUCCAUUUGUGUGUGUGUGUGUGUGUGUGUGUGUGUGUGUGCGUGUGUGUGUGUGUGUGUGUUGUUUGUUUUCUGCCAGCACUGUACUGGUUCUGCUACCAUGGCUCUGUAGUAUAUUUCUGGUGGUGUUUUUAUUGUUCAGGAUUGUUUUGGCCAUACAGGGGUCUUUUAUGCUUCUGUAUUAAUUAAUUUUAAGAUUGUUUAUCCAAUUUUUGUGAAGAGUUGCAUUGGACUUUUGAUAGGAACUGCAUUUAAUCUGUAGAUUGCUUUUGGUAAAAUGACCGUGUCCACCACCUAAAGUUUACCAAUCGAUGUGCGCAGGAGGUCUCUUAGGUGUCUUCUUCAGUCUCUCCCUUAGCAUUUAAAAGAACAUGUGUGCAGGCAUUUCUGGGAGAGUGCAUGUGGAGACCAGUGGUCAGCUUUGGAUGUUGCUCCUCAAGAGCCAUACAUUUGCUCUUUGACACAGGCUCUCGAGCUAGCCUGGCUAGACUGCAGGCCAGCAAAACCUAGGAAAUGACCCGUGUCUGUCCCUACAGAGCUGGAAUUAAAGUCUGCCACAUCGCAA